rnacentral:rRNA from 1 species
CGCAACGAGCGCAACCCUUGUUUUUAGUUGCCUUUUAUGGAACUCUAAAAAGACUGCUGGUUAUAAACCGGAGGAAGGUGGGGAUGACGUCUAGUCACCAUGCCCCUUACACCCUGGGCUACGCACGUGCUACAUUGGACGAGACAAUGAGAUGCGAACCUGCAAAGGCUAGCGAAUCUAUAAACUCGUUCUAAGUUCGGAUUGUAGGCUGCAACUCGCCUACAUGAAGGUGGAAUCGCUAGUAAUCGCUGGUCAGCUAUACAGCGGUGAAUUCGUUCCCGGGCCUUGUACACACCGCCCGU